CCCCACCCACCUAGAGGAGCCUGUUCUUUAAUCGACAUCACACGAUACACCUUACCGCUGCUAGCUACUCAGUCUGUAUACCUCCGUCGCAAGCUUACCAUGUGAACGACACAAAGUGAGCUAAAAGGUUCAUCACCAACACGUCAGGUCAAGGUGCAGCUUACGUAGCGGAAAGUAAUGGGCUACAAUCUCUCCGACAGAACAUACGAAAUACUAUGUGCAACACUUAGUCAAGAAGGCGGAUUUAGCAGUAAAAAGAAAUCAGAGAGUUCUUUUUAAUUAGGCCCUGGGGCGUGUACACACCGCCCGUCACCCUCUUCAACCCACCAAGAAGAGAUAAGUCGUAACAUGGUAAGUGUACUGGAAGGUGCACUUGGAACAACAAA
rnacentral:rRNA from 1 species